AUACAGCUAGAUAACCAAAGAG
rnacentral:miRNA from 1 species